CCUGGUUGAUUCUGCCAGUAGUCAUAUGCUUGUCUUAAAGAUUAAGCCAUGCAUGUCUAAGUAUAAGCAAUUAUACAGCGAAACUGCGAAUGGCUCAUUAAAUCAGUUAUCGUUUAUUUGAUAGUACCUUACUACAUGGAUAACCGUGGUAAUUCUAGAGCUAAUACAUGCUAAAAACCCCGACUUCGGAAGGGGUGUAUUUAUUAGAUUAAAAACCAAUGCCCUUCGGGGCUCACUGGUGAUUCAUGAUAACUUCUCGAAUCGCACGGCCUUGCGCCGGCGAUGGUUCAUUCAAAUUUCUGCCCUAUCAACUUUCGACGGCUGGGUCUUGGCCAGCCGUGGUGACAACGGGUAACGGAGGGUUAGGGCUCGACCCCGGAGAAAACGCCUGAGAAACGGCGUUUACAUCCAAGGAAGGCAGCAGGCGCGCAAAUUACCCAAUGCCGACACGGCGAGGUAGUGACGAGAAAUACUGAUACAGGGCUCUUUUGGGUCUUGUAAUUGGAAUGAGUACAAUUUAAAUCUCUUAACGAGGAACAAUUGGAGGGCAAGUCUGGUGCCAGCAGCCGCGGUAAUUCCAGCUCCAAUAGCGUAUAUUAAAGUUGUUGCAGUUAAAAAGCUCGUAGUUGAACCUUGGGCCUGGCUGGCCGGUCCGCCUCACCGCGUGCACUGGUCCGGCCGGGCCUUUCCCUCUGGGGAACCGCAUGCCCUUCACUGGGCGUGUCGGGGAACCAGGACUUUUACUUUGAAAAAAUUAGAGUGUUCAAAGCAGGCCUAUGCUCGAAUACAUUAGCAUGGAAUAAUAGAAUAGGACGUGUGGUUCUAUUUUGUUGGUUUCUAGGACCGCCGUAAUGAUUAAUAGGGACAGUCGGGGGCAUCAGUAUUCAAUUGUCAGAGGUGAAAUUCUUGGAUUUAUUGAAGACUAACUACUGCGAAAGCAUUUGCCAAGGAUGUUUUCAUUAAUCAGGAACGAAAGUUAGGGGAUCGAAGACGAUCAGAUACCGUCGUAGUCUUAACCAUAAACUAUGCCGACUAGGGAUCGGAC
rnacentral:rRNA from 1 species